rnacentral:rRNA from 1 species
AGCUCCAAUAGCGUAUAUUAAAGUUGUUGCAGUUAAAAAGCUCGUAGUUGAACUUCAGGCUUGGCCGGAUGGUCCGCCUCACGGUGUGUACUGUCUGGCUGAGUCUUACCUCUUGGUGAGCCGGCGUGCCCUUUAUUGGUGUGCGUCGGGGAACCAGGACUUUUACCUUGAGAAAAUUAGAGUGUUCAAAGCAGGCCUAUGCCCGAAUACAUUAGCAUGGAAUAAUAGAAUAGGACGUGCGGUUCUAUUUUGUUGGUUUCUAGAGUCGCCGUAAUGAUUAAUAGGGAUAGUUGGGGGCAUUGGUAUUAAGUCGCUAGAGGUGAAAUUCUUGGAUUGACUUAAGACCAACUAUUGCGAAAGCAUUUGCCAAGGAUGUUUUCA